AUCACUCAUUCUGGGGGCAGCCCUCUGGCAUGUAAUGAGCAGUCCUAUGGAGAAGCCCAUGUGACAGUAGCCAUGCAAGUGACACUGGAAGUGAAGUCUGCAACUCCAGUCAAGCCUUUAGAAGACUGCAGCCCUGGCUGACAGCUUCACAGCAAACUCGUGAGAGACCCUCAGCUUGAACAAUGCAGCUAACCUGUUCCUGGGUUCCUGGUCCUCAAGAACUGUUAUAAAAGACAUCGUGGCUACCAUCUCUCAUCACUCACUCAAAGGGAAGCCAACCACCAUGCAAGGAGACAAUGAGAAUCUCGGGUGAUGAGGACCUGAGACCUGUUGUCAAUCACGUGAAUAAGCUUGGGAGCAGAUUCUCCAGCCCCAGUCAAGCCUUAGAAGACUUCAGCCCUAGGUGACAGUUUGAUGAUAAUCUCGUGAGGCAGAACCACCCAGCUAAGCCACUCCUGGAUUCCUGACCCUGACCCUGACCCUAGAAACAGUGUGAGCUGGAAUUCUGUGAAGCACAUGACCUCAAGUCUUUGGAUAAAUGGAAACGCAGCUUAUGCAGGAGAGAUGGGAGGCUGGCUGUACUAAUAUCAGAAGUGGAAGAGGAGAGACAUCACUAGAGAUCCCAUGGAUAUUGAAAGGAUAAUAAAGGAGUAUUAUGAGCAUUGUUA